CUAAGCCACAGCACCCUGAAAGCGCCCGAUCUUGUCUGAUCUCAGAAGCUAAGCAAGGUGGGGGCUGUUUGAUACUUGGA
rnacentral:rRNA from 14 species